UAAAGAAAGUUACAAAGGGCGUACGGGGGAUGCCUUGGCUCCCGGAGGCGAAGAAGGGCGUGACAAGCUGCGAAAAACUGCGGGGAUCGGCAAAUACGAAUUGAUCCGCAGGUACCCGAAUGGGACAACCCAUUCACCGUAAGGUGGAUAUUCCUGCUUGCAGGAAGGCCAACCCGGGGAACUGAAACAUCUAAGUACCCGGAGGAAGAGAAAACAAUAGUGAUUCCCAAAGUAGUGGCGAGCGAAAUGGGAACAGCCUAAACCGGUAUUGUUUCGGCAAUGCCGGGGUUGUAGGGCUGCGAUAUGGUAUAUAACCAGGAAGUGGAACGGUUUUGGAAAUGCCGGCCAAAGGAGGUGACAGCCCUGUACACGUAUAGGGUUAUAUACUUAGCAGUACCCUGAGUAGGGCGGGACACGAGAAAUCCUGCCUGAACCAGCCAGGACCAUCUGGUAAGGCUAAAUACUACUGGGAGACCGAUAGUGAACAAGUACCGUGAGGGAAAGGUGAAAAGCACCCCGAACAGGGGGGUGAAAAAGUACCUGAAACCGUACGCUUACAAGCGGUUGGAGUCCCGAGAACUCGGGAUGACAGCGUGCCUUUUGCAUAAUGAGCCUACGAGUUAGUCGUCACUAGCGAGGCUAAGGACUUAAGGUCCGUACCCGAAGCGAAAGCGAGUCUGAAAAGGGCGUAAAGUUAGUGGCGCUAGACGCGAAACCCUGUGAUCUACCCAUGGCCAGGUUGAAGUUUUGGUAACACAAAAUGGAGGACCGAACCAGGAAGCGUUGAAAAGCUUUUGGAUGAGCUGUGGGUAGGGGUGAAAGGCCAAUCAAACUGGGAAAUAGCUCGUACUCCCCGAAAUGCAUUUAGGUGCAGCCCUGUAGAAGUUUUGCAGAGGUAGAGCUACUGAUUGGAUGCGAGGGCUUCACCGCCUAUCAAAUCCAGACAAACUCCGAAUGCUGUAAAAUGAUUUACAGGAGUGAGGGCAUGGGUGCUAAGGUCCGUGUCCGAGAGGGAAAGAACCCAGACCACCAGCUAAGGUCCCGAAGUGUAUGCUGAGUUGAAGAAAACGAGGUCCGGUUGCUUAGACAGCUAGGAUGUUGGCUUGGAAGCAGCCAUUCAUUUAAAGAGUGCGUAACAGCUCACUAGUCGAGCGACUGGGCAUGGAUAAUAAUCGGGCAUAAGCAUACCACCGAAGCUGUGGCAUUGAAUUUUAUUCAAUGGGUAGGGGAGCAUUCCAGCAGGCGCAGAAGUUGUACCGUGAGGUAUGGUGGAGCUACUGGAAAAGCAAAUGUAGGCAUAAGUAACGAUAAAGGGGGUGAGAAACCCCCUCGCCGAUAGACUAAGGUUUCCUGAUCAACGCUAAUCGGAUCAGGGUAAGCCGGGACCUAAGGAGUACCCGAAAGGGGAAUCCGAUGGUUAGCAGGUUAAUAUUCCUGCGCCCGCUAUGCGAUGAAAGUGACGGAGUGAUGUAGGUACUGAGUGCUGACGGAAUAGCACCCUGAGCCUAGCCUUCGGGCGAAGCGAAGUAUUGAAAUUGCUUCCAAGAAAAGCGAGCAUAGCGGCCCGUACCGUAAACCGACACAGGUAGUCAAGGAGAGAAUCCUGAGGCGCUCGAGUGAUUCGCGGCUAAGGAACUAGGCAAAAUGACCCCGUAACUUCGGGAGAAGGGGAGCCCGAUCUUCGGAUCGGGCCGCAGAGAAAUGAUCCAGGCGACUGUUUAUCAAAAACACAGGGCUAUGCUAAACUGCAAGGUGACGUAUAUGGCCUGACACCUGCCCGGUGCCGGAAGGUUAAGGGGGGAGCUUAUCUUCGGAGAAGGCUUGAACCGAAGCCCCGGUAAACGGCGGCCGUAACUAUAACGGUCCUAAGGUAGCGAAAUUCCUUGUCGGGUAAGUUCCGACCUGCACGAAUGGUGCAACGAUCUGGAUACUGUCUCGGCCGCGAGCUCGGUGAAAUUGAAGUAACGGUGAAGAUGCCGUUUACCCGCAACGGGACGGAAAGACCCCGUGAACCUUUACUGCAACUUCGCAUUGACUCUGGGUAAGGAAUGUGUAGGAUAGGACGGAGGCUAUGAACCGGGUUCGCCAGGAUUCGGGGAGCCGCCCUUGAAAUACGUCCCUUUGCUUACUUGGCGCCUAAUCCGGCAACUGCCGGAGACAUUGCGUGGUGGGUAGUUUGACUGGGGUGGUCGCCUCCAAAAGCGUAACGGAGGCUUCUAAAGGUACCCUCAUGGCGAUUGGUAACCGCCAGCAGAGCAUAAUGGUAUAAGGGUGCUUGACUGUGAGACCGACGGGUCGAUCAGGUAGGAAACUAGAGCAUAGUGAUCCGGUGGUUCCGAAUGGAAGGGCCAUCGCUCAAAGGAUAAAAGGUACUCCGGGGAUAACAGGCUGAUCGCUCCCAAGAGCUCAUAUCGACGGAGCGGUUUGGCACCUCGAUGUCGGCUCGUCACAUCCUGGGGCUGGAGAAGGUCCCAAGGGUUGGGCUGUUCGCCCAUUAAAGUGGCACGCGAGCUGGGUUCAGAACGUCGUGAGACAGUUCGGUCCCUAUCUGUUGUGGGCGUAUGAGAUUUGAGAGGACCUGAUACCAGUACGAGAGGACCGUGUUGGACAGACCUCUAGUGUACCUGUUGUGGCGCCAGCUGCAUUGCAGGGUAGCUAUGUCUGGAUGAGAUAAGCGCUGAAAGCAUCUAAGCGCGAAGCUCACCUCAAGAUGAGAUCUCGCUUAAGGGCCGUAGGAGACUACUACGUUGAUAGGCUGCAGGUGUAAGGGCGGUAACGUCCGUAGCCGAGCAGUACUAAUUGCCCGAUAACUUUCUUG
rnacentral:rRNA from 1 species